rnacentral:rRNA from 1 species
CCUACGGGAGGCUGCAGUGGGGAAUCUUAGACAAUGGGCGCAAGCCUGAUCUAGCCAUGCCGCGUGAGUGAUGAAGGCCCUAGGGUCGUAAAGCUCUUUCGCCUGUGAAGAUAAUGACGGUAGCAGGUAAAGAAACCCCGGCUAACUCCGUGCCAGCAGCCGCGGUAAUACGGAGGGGGUUAGCGUUGUUCGGAAUUACUGGGCGUAAAGCGCACGUAGGCGGACUAUUAAGUCGAGGGUGAAAUCCCGGGGCUCAACCCCGGAACUGCCUUCGAUACUGGUAGUCUUGAGUUCGAGAGAGGUGAGUGGAAUUCCGAGUGUAGAGGUGAAAUUCGUAGAUAUUCGGAGGAACACCAGUGGCGAAGGCGGCUCACUGGCUCGAUACUGACGCUGAGGUGCGAAAGUGUGGGGAGCAAACAGGAUUAGAUACCCUGGUAGUC